rnacentral:siRNA from 1 species
AAUCUUGAUGAUGCUGCA